UACGUAGGUGGCAAGCGUUGUCCGGAUUUACUGGGCGUAAAGGGCGGGUAGGCGGCCACCGCAAGUCAGUUGUGAAAUCUCCGGGCUUAACCCGGAAAGGUCAACUGAUACUGCGGGGCUAGAGUGCAGAAGGGGCAACUGGAAUUCUCGGUGUAGCGGUGAAAUGCGUAGAUAUCGAGAGGAACACCGGUGGCGAAGGCGGGUCUCUGGGCAGUAACUGACGCUGAGGAACGAAAGCGUGGGUAGCAAACAGG
rnacentral:rRNA from 1 species